rnacentral:lncRNA from 1 species
UAUUAUAUAGUCGAAUUUUUGAUUCGGAAUUUUUAAUUGGUGAACGUAUAAUACCCGUAUAUAUUACGUAUCCGAAUAACUGUCAAAUCCGUUUUUAGCCGUUAGUUUUCAACGAAUUUAAAAAUUAAAAGACGAAUUUUAUCCGAAUUAUAUCUGUACCGAAUUUUUGCCGAAUCUGAAUUAACUAACUAUGCCUCCAACCACUAAGAUUGGUUUAGCUGCGAUCGAUCUCAUCCGUUCAUCUGCUCGCUCCCAACGUGCUUAAUUAAUUAAUUGAUAUUUGAAGGGCAAAUAAGAAAAAUAUUUGUUAUAUGAAGGGUAUAUAAGAAAAGUGAGUUACGGUACGAGGGUAUAUUAGAAUGGGCAAAAUGGUAAUUUUUCAGAGAUAACAGCAGCUAACUGACGGAACUUAACUCCAGGGGUAUAUUAGAAAGACUUGGAACAUAAGAAGGGUAUUUUCAAUAUUAGCCUUCUAAGAGGGGUAAAUAAGAAAACCGGAAACUUUUCAGGGGUAUAUAGGCAAUUGCCCCUAUUUUUUAUUUAUUUUCUAGUUGUACAUGUUAAUUGGACUAAAGGUUACAAUACUUAAACAAAUAAACAAAAAAGAAAAAGCCACAAGAAGAAAUUGAAGGAACAGAAGAAACCAAAAGCUAAAAACUAUUAAUCGGAAUCUCGUAGCGCUAGCAAAUUAUGGAUGGGUGGGGCAAAAAAAAGGAGAGUAGUGUUGUUGGCAUAAUGCUUGGACUACAACCUCCUUAAGGCUUCGUUUGAUUCGGAUAUAAGUAACAACUAGUUGUUUUAAAAAUAGAUAUAAAAUGAGGUAUAAGGUGGGUAUAAAGUAAUUUUGUGUUUGGUUGAGUAUUGCGUUUAGUCCAAAUAUAAGCAAAAUAGUGUUUGGUUGAAGUAAGGGGAAUAAAAAGGAUAGUGAGUGGUUAUAAAUAGAAAAUAAUAAUAUUGCCCUCUUUAUUAUAUUUGAAUUAAAAUUUUUAAAUUUUAUAUUUUAAAUUUUAAAUUUAAAUAUUAACUCUUAAAUUUCAAAAAUAUAAAAUUAAAAUUUGAAUUUAAAAAUCUCAAAUUUGAAAAUUCAAAGUUCUAAAUUUUUAAUUUCAAAUUUUAAAUUUAAGAUCGAAUCUAAAUUUAAAAAAUAUAAAAUAUUAAAUUUUAAACUUAAAAAUUUAAAAUUUGAAAUUUAAAAUUAUAAAUAUUAAUUUUAAAAUUAUAAAUUAUAAAAUUUUAAAAUGUAAAAUUUAAAAUUCAUAAUUUAAUUUAGAUUAAAAAAAUAAAUUGAAGUGUGAUUAGCUAAUUCCAUCCCAAUUCCCACUCAAGGGGUGUGGUUUGCUAUCCCACCCCUUAACAUGUUAUUCCAGGAUAACUCGUUAAGGGAUGGGAUAGCAAAUUCACCUGUAUAAGAAGUGGAAUAAUCCCUUAUCCCACUCCUUAUACCCCAAUCAAACACUAGCUUAGUGCCAUGACUUUUGAAGCAAAAAGGCUUGAUGGUUGGUACCCGAGAUCCAAGUUCGAAUAGUUGAUUUACAUUUCCAACUAAGUUUAUUUCUAAAUGAAAUAAACGAAACGAAUAGCAUGCUACCUAUCUCUCUCUCAAAAAAAAAAAAAAGACUUUUAUA